rnacentral:rRNA from 1 species
GACGAACGCUGGCGGCGUGCCUAAUACAUGCAAGUAGAACGCACAGUUUAUACCGUAGCUUGCUACACCAUAGACUGUGAGUUGCGAACGGGUGAGUAACGCGUAGGUAACCUGCCUGGUAGCGGGGGAUAACUAUUGGAAACGAUAGCUAAUACCGCAUAAUAUUGAUUAUUGCAUGAUAAUUGAUUGAAAGAUGCUAUUGCAUCACUACCAGAUGGACCUGCGUUGUAUUAGCUAGUAGGUGAGGUAACGGCUCACCUAGGCGACGAUACAUAGCCGACCUGAGAGGGUGAUCCGCCAGACUGAGACGGAGACACGGCCCAGACUCCUACAGGAGGCAGCAGUAGGGAAUCUUCGGCAAUGGACGAAAGUCUGAGCGAGCAACGCCGCGGGAGUGAAGAAGGGUUUCGGAUCGGAAAGCUCGGUUGUAAGAGAAGAAAGGGUGUGAGAGUGGAAAGUUCACACUGUGACGGUAUCUUAACAGAAAGCGACGGCUAACUACGUG